GCACAUAUUCUGUUUCAGGUACUUAUAGCAAAUACAGAGUGGGCCAAUAUUCGAAAAGAGCACAAGACUUGAGGAUUUGAGCAUGCUUGUAGGCCAGCAGCAUCACCUUCAGACUUCGUCACUUGUUGACAGUCUAAAAUUGACCCUGAACUGAUGUCACUAGGCUAAGCAAGACGUCAAAGACCAAAUACGCAUGCCACUAUUGAUUUGCAUAUCGCAGCAGACACAAAACACUUGCAGGCUAAAAUAAUAGGCCAAGUCUAGGACUUGGCCUUUUGGUCAUAUGAUGUUGCAAAGCUAAGCAACAUCAUUUCUUUUAGUUAGUUUCUCAAGAUCCACCUUUUUCUUUCCCGACCCUUUGGGAUCAGAAUUUUGGCCACUGCAAACCUUCUGCAUUCCUUUGAUUAGUUAGUGCUGGGCAAGAUUUAAAAAGUUCUCUCACAGAUUUUAUUUUGGUUUGCAUGUGCUUUGCCCCUCGGUUCUUGUGACCAUGAUGUGGGUAAGCUCAAGGCUCAUCUGGUGUUUCCCAGUUGAGUAGCUGGCCUGCCUCGUGCAUUCAGGUCACAUAUUUUGAUUUUGAUAUAUGCUAAAUUGGUAUCUUCCUGCUAUAUUGAGUUUAACAACUUAUCUAGGUUAGAUAUGCUUUUAAACUGGGAUAUUUGGUACAUCAUACUUAAGUAGUUUACUGAAUGGUACUAAUUGUUCAGAUCACUAUAGUAUCUCAUCCUUGUCCCCUCAGUUCUUCUGUUAGCUGCUCUUGAUUUGAAACCAUCUGAUUUUGUAGUCAGUCGAGUUGUAGUGUUGAGUAAUCAGAACUUGUCAGGUCGUUAAAUUUCAGAGAAUUUCUAUCCUUAAAGGCUGCAAGCCUACCCGGCCAACCAGAACACUCAAUGGGGCAAAAUCAUCUGGUUCGUUUGUUUGGCUUUGCACAGUAAAUCUAAAGUCCCACUUUUCAGCACAGCCGUUAGAUGCAGUCAAAAAAAUUCUCACAUGUGCGUCUUCUGAUAGAGUCCUUGACCUGUAGGACCAGCAACCUGCGGGGCCGACGGCGUGAUGGUUGGGUGGAACAAUAAAAUAUUAAGUUGUGUAGGCAUAGCCAUUGAUUGAAUUAGUUGUUCUAGAAAAUUGUGGAUAGGAAAUUCUUUACGGAAAUCUGAAGGUUGCUUUUGCCUGUGGGGAUAAUCGAAUUGGCAUGCUUACCUCUGUGAACGCGUGAGUACCAAUCGUGAAUACCCACUUCCUUUGAUUAUAGGAAACCAAUGUUUCGUUAUUUUAUUGCAGUGAUUGAAUUAUGUCUUCCAUUUCUAAUGCUUGUGGUAAUUGAUGAAUUGCUUGCAUUAAGCGAGGUCAAGGAUGUGCAAUUUUCCAGCUGAAGAUUUUAUUGUUCAAAUGGGAGUACAGGAAAUUACAAGCACUAGCAACUUUUAAUUGAUUUUUUGUGCUACUAAACAUGGUCAACAGACUAUACUGCGAAAACAGUCUUUUACCGUGAGCGUCCUGAAUACACACUGAUUGCAUCUCCUCCAGGUGUCAUCUUGUCAUGGGCAUUGCCCCGCACCGCCAUGUGCUAGCCAGCAAGAGAGGAAUAUGGCAUCAGAAUGCCCUAGAUUGCUGCACUAGGCACCAACGGCGAGUCGAAGAACAGCAAGGAGCGGCUGCUGUAGCUUUGGACCGCACGGCGCUGGCGACAACAGGUUUGCCCCCUUUAAACCUCGGUCUUCGCAGCCAUUGGAUUCUCUUUUCAUGACUAUAGUACGUUGUAUGGAUAGAAGAAGAAGAGGGCCAGCACAUAUUUGAGAGAAGCAGGCGAGGCGCCAUUGAGAACAGUACUUCAGAUCAUAGGCUUGUAGUACCUUCAGUUGACCUUUGUGACUUAAUUGGAUGAUUUAGAACUGUACUCUAAACCAUAAGUCUUUGACUUUAAGAUGCUCACUGUAAAGAGAAUCUCUCUCUGUGAAGUAGUUGCCUAUUUGACUGGCCUACCAGUCUGCGAUAUUCGUUGGACAUUAGGAAGGAGCAUGUUAAUUUGGUUGAUGCACAAUUACAGAAGUUGGUAUACAGUGGCCGGCUUAGCUGAUCAAGAGGAAUUGGACAGAUUUGCAAAGCUGAUUGACAAGGCAUUUGACUGCAUUUAUAUACUCUACUUUCAAUUUUAUUUCAUGGGUGUCGGGCGUUGGCAGCUUGCUAGCUGCUGGGUGACACGGCCGCGGGCAGCAGUUUAGUGUUCCUCUCAUAUUCAGUUAGGAUGAGAAGACUAGAUACUAUUCGGAAGUGGAUGUAGUACAUUCAGCCAGGUCCAGCCAGGUCUGAAGGCACGCUUAGUGUUUUUCCUGUUGAGUAAUUGGUAUGUACAUGGAGAGAUCUGAUUCUGUCAGCUUCAAAAUUUGCUAAUUCAUCAUCUUCUUUGUACAUACUCUUUGCAGAGAUACAAUCUAUAAGGGAUAUCAACACAUGGUUGCAGUGGUCCAUGUUGUGCACAGUAAUUACUUGAUGAGUAAUGUAAUUGUUGUGUAGUAGUACAAUCUGGCUAUUAGAUAUUGCCAGCAUUUUCUUGCCAUUUGGUUAUUCAAAGAAUUGAUAUUAGGGUAGUAGGACAUAAUAAGACUUUUCGAUAAUAUACAGGUUAAAUAUGUAUUUAAUAAAGGUUCAUUGAUGCAGAGGAUGGGGCUUUCCCGUUUAAAAAGAAGUUAAAUAUGUGAUUAUGCAUAAAAGGAAGUCCCCGGUCUAUUUUUGUUGUGGUAUCUCGGCUUAAUGAUUCUUUCAAGGGAAGACAAGAUGGAAAAGAAGCAUCACGAACUAACCCUGGAGAAUUGAUUGUACCUCACUAGCGUCGCCAGUCUCCUAAGCAAAGGUUGGUGUAAGAACCUUCACCUCCUUCUGUUUCAUGGGAGCCGCUGGCGCCAUGUCGGACGCGAUGACAUCUGGAUUGGCAGAAAACACACAUCGGCUGCGAGCGCGGCCGUAUUUUGGAGCUAAACCUGGAAAGUUUCUUGAUUUAUGACGAAAGUGGAGUUCGUGUGGAAAAGGUGGAGGCAAAUCGGUCGAGGUGGGUUUACACAGGGCUGGCAGUUUGGUCCAUACACACGGAUACAAGAAAUAUGUAUUGGCUAUAUUUGCGUAUACUGUACAUACGAGGUUUUCAUUAGCUAAAUUUGGUUAUAUCUGCGUAUAA